AGCAUGAUUUUUCCCUCGGGAAAGAUUGAUGGCGACCGGCGCACGGGUGAGUAACGCGUAUCCAACCUGCCCGUCACCACGGGAUAGCCUGCCGAAAGGCAGAUUAAUACCGUAUGCGGUCCGAAGACGGCAUCAGAUUCGGACUAAAGGUUCAGCGGUGACGGAUGGGGAUGCGUCCGAUUAGGUAGUAGGCGGGGUAACGGCCCACCUAGCCAUCGAUCGGUAGGGGUUCUGAGAGGAAGGUCCCCCACACUGGAACUGAGACACGGUCCAGACUCCUACGGGAGGCAGCAGUGAGGAAUAUUGGUCAAUGGAGGCAACUCUGAACCAGCCAAGUAGCGUGCAGGAUGACGGCCCUAUGGGUUGUAAACUGCUUUUAUGCGGGGAUAAACUGAGUCACGUGUGGCUUAUUGCAGGUACCGCAUGAAUAAGGACCGGCUAAUUCCGUGCCAGCAGCCGCGGUAAUACGGAAGGUCCGGGCGUUAUCCGGGUUUAUUGGGUUUAAAGGGAGCGCAGGCCGCCCCUUAAGCGUGUUGUGAAAUGCCGCGGCUCAACCGUGGCACUGCAGCGCGAACUGGGGGGCUUGAGUGCGCCGGAGGUAGGCGGAAUUCGUGGUGUAGCGGUGAAAUGCUUAGAUAUCACGAAGAACUCCGAUUGCGAAGGCAGCCUACCGUAGCGUUACUGACGCUGAGGCUCGAAGGUGCGGGUAUCGAACA
rnacentral:rRNA from 1 species